GGGGACAUAGCUCAGUUGGUAGAGUGCUUGCCUUGCAUGCACAAGACCCUGGGUUCAAUCCCCAGGGCCCCCA
rnacentral:tRNA from 1 species